UAUGUAGAUUGUUUGAAAAUACUAUAAGUUUUAGAAAAGGCUUCUAUUUUACAUGGGGGAUUCCCCUUCCUGUACUACCUGGAGCAACCAGCUGGUGGAAGGAGGCAGCAGCAGCAGGUACAGAUCCCUCUGCUCUUGGGAACUCACAACUCAUGGAGGAAGAGAUAAAAGCAGAUAGACCAAGUUUGCUCACACAAAUCCACAACAUUAUUUACUGGAAUGAAAAUAUAAAAAUAUUAUUUGCUUCAGAGAAUAGCCGUAGGGAGACACUUGAGCGUUAUACUAUAUACCCAAGAAAAGCUUAUGUAAGGACAAGAAGCUCUCCAUUAGUGCAUUUGACAAAAUCUUCAGAAGAAAUAUGAGUUUCUUGAAGCCUGUAAUUUACACAACUCCUAACAAAUUACUCUCAUUUCUGCCUUACGAUGAUUUUCUGUUUGAAGUCACUCCAAACCUCUUGUGUUAUAAGACUCCGCAUUUUUCAUACAGAUUGUUUUUGGGUAAGUUCUCUUUCUGAAAUUUGUUUGCUUAUCCGACUAUGUCAUAGGUUAC
rnacentral:lncRNA from 1 species